rnacentral:misc_RNA from 1 species
AACCAUAGAAACCUGCGGAGUACCUGCGGAGGGAUCAUUAACAAAUCUGAGUUGUGGGUUGUGUGGUGUGCGUGCGCGCAUAGCGCCACGUGCAUCAUCCUGCCUGCACAUUUACCCCGAGCCGGUCUAAACAGCCGGCUUUGGUUUGAGCCUUCGGGCUCAGGCGAUGGCUGUGUUAGGAAGGGGGCUCUGUGCCCUUCUUCCGCUGGCCAAAGCCACAUAGACGCUUGUUUUGUUUGA